GCCCGGCUAGCUCAAUUGGCAGAGCGUGUGACUUUUAUCUGAUACCAUCACCUGAAAUCACAAGGUUCGGGGUUCGACCCCCCGGUCGGGCA
rfam:Penicillium coprophilum strain IBT 31321 PENCOP_contig004, whole genome shotgun sequence.